AACUAGCCUUAGCGAGGCCAUGGGGGAAAAAGUCUAACUGGCGGAACUCCUGGGAACUGGGGCGAUGGGCUCUUAGUAUCGGAGGAUUGGAGCCAUCUGAUUUUUACCUGAAAUUCCUUAGUCUCUCCUGUGUUGGGGAAAUGGUCACCUUGCCUUCAGGGACCUGGGCUUUCAGCUGUCCAUACCUGGCCCUGGUUGAUGGCGGCAUGCUGGGCAGUGCACGUGAAGACGCACAUGCGCUGCUGGGUUAGGGUCUCCCCGACUGAGCUGGUCUCGGCAAGUGGUGUCCAUUCGUGGGGGCUCAAAUCCAGGUCGAAGGGUCGCCAGAGCAACAGUUGGAAUGGAAAACCAGCUGGAGGACACAGGAGUACUCUUAAAGCAAUCCCCGUGAUACAGCAUUACCUGAAAAGAAGAUAACCUGGGGUAGAGGUUAUGCUUGUGUUUCUCCAGGCCAAAAUCAACAGCUGAUCUGGAUACCAUCAAUACACCUGAAACCUUAGCAUAAGCCAGAUUACAGGAGGAUCCCGAGGACCCCCCAGUUGCAGCCAUGUCAAGACUGAUGCUGAG
ensembl:lncRNA MIR497HG mir-497-195 cluster host gene